UAUUUUUUGGCUCCUUAGUCCUAGUCUCACCCUUAAGGUGGCGUCUCUAGCCAUGGACAGUCUCUGCCGUGGAGUGUUUGCAGGCAACAGCCGUGAGCUCAGCAUCAGGUCCUGCUUUCCCAGUCUCUUCCAAGCUGAGCAAACCCAUCGUUCCAUAUUACUGGGCCUGCUGCUGGGGGCAGGGCGGACCCCACAGCCAGAUUCAGCACUCAUUCGCCAGGCCUUGGCUGAGCGCUGGAGCCAGUGGUCACUUCGUGGAGGUCUAGAGAUGUUGCCUCAGGCCCUUGAAACCCACCUGACUAGUAGGGGGGUCAGUGUUCUCAGAGGCCAGCCGGUCUGUGGGCUCAGCCUCCAGGCAGAAGGGCGCUGGAAGGUAUCUCUAAGGGACAGCAGUCUGGAGGCUGACCACGUUAUUAGUGCCAUUCCAGCUUCAGUGCUCAGUGAGCUGCUCCCUGCUGAGGCUGCCCCUCUGGCUCGUGCCCUGAGUGCCAUCACUGCAGUGUCUGUAGCUGUG
rnacentral:sRNA from 1 species